ACCGCAUAAUGUCGCAAGACCAAAGAGGGGGACCUUCGGGCCUCUUGCCAUCGGAUGUGCCCAGAUGGGAUUAGCUUGUUGGUGGGGUAACGGCUCACCAAGGCGACGAUCCCUAGCUGGUCUGAGAGGAUGACCAGCCACACUGGAACUGAGACACGGUCCAGACUCCUACGGGAGGCAGCAGUGGGGAAUAUUGCACAAUGGGCGCAAGCCUGAUGCAGCCAUGCCGCGUGUAUGAAGAAGGCCUUCGGGUUGUAAAGUACUUUCAGCGGGGAGGAAGGGAGUAAAGUUAAUACCUUUGCUCAUUGACGUUAUCCGCAGAAGAAGCACCGGCUAACUCCGUGCCAGCAGCCGCGGUAAUACGGAGGGUGCAAGCGUUAAUCGGAAUUACUGGGCGUAAAGCGCACGCAGGCGGUUUGUUAAGUCAGAUGUGAAAUCCCCGGGCUCAACCUGGGAACUGCAUCUGAUACUGGCAAGCUUGAGUCUCGUAGAGGGGGGUAGAAUUCCAGGUGUAGCGGUGAAAUGCGUAGAGAUCUGGAGGAAUACCGGUGGCGAAGGCGGCCCCCUGGACGAAGACUGACGCUCAGGUGCGAAAGCGUGGGGAGCAAACAGGAUUAGAUACCCUGGUAGUCCACGCCGUAAACGAUGUCGACUUGGAGGUUGUGCCCUUGAGGCGUGGCUUCCGGAGCUAACGCGUUAAGUCGACCGCCUGGGGAGUACGGCCGCAAGGUUAAAACUCAAAUGAAUUGACGGGGGCCCGCACAAGCGGUGGAGCAUGUGGUUUAAUUCGAUGCAACGCGAAGAACCUUACCUGGUCUUGACAUCCACGGAAGUUUUCAGAGAUGAGAAUGUGCCUUCGGGAACCGUGAGACAGGUGCUGCAUGGCUGUCGUCAGCUCGUGUUGUGAAAUGUUGGGUUAAGUCCCGCAACGAGCGCAACCCUUAUCCUUUGUUGCCAGCGGUCCGGCCGGGAACUCAAAGGAGACUGCCAGUGAUAAACUGGAGGAAGGUGGGGACGACGUCAAGUCAUCAUGGCCCUUACGACCAGGGCUACACACGUGCUACAAUGGCGCAUACAAAGAGAAGCGACCUCGCGAGAGCAAGCGGACCUCAUAAAGUGCGUCGUAGUCCGGAUUGGAGUCUGCAACUCGACUCCAUGAAGUCGGAAUCGCUAGUAAUCGUGGAUCAGAAUGCCACGGUGAAUACGUUCCCGGGCCUUGUACACACCGCCCGUCACACCAUGGGAGUGGGUUGCAAAAGAAGUAGGUAGCUUAACCUUCGGGAGGGCGCUUACCACUUUGUGAUUCAUGACUGGGGUGAAGUCGUAACAAGGUAACCGUAGGGGAACCUGCGGUUGGAUCACCUCCUU
rnacentral:rRNA from 1 species